AUACGGAGGGUGCAAGCGUUAAUCGGAAUUACUGGGCGUAAAGAGCGCGUAGGCGGUUUGGUCAGUCGGAUGUGAAAGCCCCGGGCUUAACCUGGGAACUGCAUUCGAUACUGCCCGACUAGAGUAUGGUAGAGGGUAGUGGAAUUCCCGGUGUAGCGGUGAAAUGCGUAGAUAUCGGGAAGAACACCAGUGGCGAAGGCGGCUACCUGGACCAAUACUGACGCUGAGGCGCGAAAGCGUGGGGAGCAAACAGGAUUAGAAACCCGAGUAGUCC
rnacentral:rRNA from 1 species